UACAGAGGGUGCAAGCGUUGUUCGGAAUUAUUGGGCGUAAAGAGCGUGUAGGCGGCCUGACAGGUCUGCUGUGAAAACUCGAGGCUCAACCUCGAGAUGUCGGCGGAAACCGUCUGGCUAGAGUCCGGAAGAGGAGAGUGGAAUUCCUGGUGUAGCGGUGAAAUGCGCAGAUAUCAGGAGGAACACCGGUGGCGAAGGCGGGUCUCUGGGCCGAUACUGACGCUGAGGAGCGAAAGCGUGGGGGAGCGAACAGG
rnacentral:rRNA from 1 species